CCUUGCUGUCGUCUCUCUCCCUCUCCCUCCGGGCCAUGUGCUCCUGCCUCUGCCUCUCCUCCUCCUCCCUCUUCCUCCUCUGCAGCUGCUGGUAAUGCUGCUGCGCCUGCCGCUCAUGCUUCUGCAGAGGAAGAGACACAUUCCCACGGAAGUAGAAUCAGCAUGAAACCAGUCAAUACAACACUGCAGUACUGCUAAUCCAACAAAUCCAUUAUUACAGUGAGGACACUGGAAAUCUUACCACAAGCUCGGGAACAGAUACUGCAGAUAGGACCCUGGGAGUGCUGAAGCCCAUACCAGCAGUCAUGAGACGGAGGUUGAUGAUGAGCUGCUGUACCUCGAGGAUCACGAUGGAGAUGAUGGCCAUCUCUGGACUCAGCCAGGGGAAGAGUCGCUGCAGCUGACCACACUGACCAAUCAGGAGUCGUCACGGACCUGCCACUGGCCGAUGCUCUCCACUCUGAGACCAAAGGGCCUCUGCAGACCGGUGCAGAGCUUGAAGGCAUCACUGCGGAUCUCAAUGAUGUUGUUGAUGAGCGCACACAUGGCGGCCAGAGGGAAGGCUGAGGAGAAGAGCACCACGUAUCCAAACUGGACAAACAUCUCCUGGUAGUCCUGGAAGGUGUCCUGGGAGGGACAAACGAUGGAUAAAUACUCCACAGAUGACUCUGAUUGAGCAGGUGUGGAUCCAUCCAUGAUUCUUUUUUAGACUUUGG